AUUGAACGCUGGCGGCAGGCCUAACACAUGCAAGUCGAGCGGCAGCGGGAAGUAGCUUGCUACUUUGCCGGCGAGCGGCGGACGGGUGAGUAAUGUCUGGGAAACUGCCUGAUGGAGGGGGAUAACUACUGGAAACGGUAGCUAAUACCGCAUGACCUCGAAAGAGCAAAGUGGGGGACCUUCGGGCCUCACGCCAUCGGAUGUGCCCAGAUGGGAUUAGCUAGUAGGUGAGGUAAUGGCUCACCUAGGCGACGAUCCCUAGCUGGUCUGAGAGGAUGACCAGCCACACUGGAACUGAGACACGGUCCAGACUCCUACGGGAGGCAGCAGUGGGGAAUAUUGCACAAUGGGCGCAAGCCUGAUGCAGCCAUGCCGCGUGUGUGAAGAAGGCCUUCGGGUUGUAAAGCACUUUCAGCGAGGAGGAAGGGUUCAGUGUUAAUAGCACUGUGCAUUGACGUUACUCGCAGAAGAAGCACCGGCUAACUCCGUGC
rnacentral:rRNA from 1 species